rnacentral:misc_RNA from 1 species
GAACGUUGCAAGCAUUGUAUCAUCCACGGAACUAUUAUGUUGUUCAUCUGGACCUAGAAUCAUCUGUGCAGGAGAGGUUAGAGCUUGCUUCCAGAGUGGAGAAAGAACCCAUUUUUGCACAGGUUGGGAAUGUGCAUAUGAUCACCAAAGCAAACAUGGUGACCUACCGUGGACCUACCAUGGUUGCUAACACUCUUCAUGCCUGCGCGAUUCUCCUGAAGAAGUAUUCGGACUGGGAUUGGUUUAUUAACCUGAGUGCUUCUGAUUAUCCACUGGUGACUCAAGAUGAUUUACUCUAUACUUUUUCCGGUUUAAAACGAGAGUACAAUUUCAUUGAGUACAGUAGCCGGCUG